AACAAGAUAGACAUGCUGGAUUUCAUUUCACAAAAUCACAAGUCGAACACUUCCCAAGUGUUUAGGACUGUGUGAUGUAUUUUCGGAUGAUGUGUGCAGUAGGGUGGCCUUUUGCAGUUGACAGAUAGUAAUUUUGUCAAUAUUGUUUCCAAAUGCCGGCUGAGAUCUUUUGGCACAGCACCCAGUGUGCCCAUCACCACUGGGACCACCUGCACUGGUUUCUGCCAGAGUCUUUGAAGUUCAGUCUUGAGGUCCUGAUAGCGGCUGAGUUUUUCCUGUUGUUUUUCGUCAAUGCGAAUAUCACCUGGGAUGGCAACAUCAAUGAUCCAAACCGUGAUGUCUGGUGUGCUGUGUUCCAGAACUUUGUCAGUCUGGAUUCGGAAGACCCACAGUAUCUUUGCGUGCUCAUUCUCCAAUACUUUUGCAGGUUUGUGAUCCCACCAGUUCUUUGCUGCUGGGAGGUGGAACUCCCACCAGUUCUUUGCUGCUGGGAGGUGGUACUUGAGGCAUAAGUUCCAAUGAAUCAUUUGGGCCACAUAGUUGUGCUUCUGUUUGUAGUCUGUCUGUGCGAUUUUCUUACAGCAGCUGAGGAUAUGAUCAAUGGUUUCGUCAGUUUGCUUGCACAGUCUGCAUUUUGGGUCAUCAGCUGAUUUUUCGAUCUUGGCCUUAAUUGCGUUUGUUCUUAUGGCUUGCUCCUGGGCUGCAAGGAUCAGACCUUCUGUCUCCUUCUUCAAGGUCCCAUUUGUGAGCCAGAGCCAGGUCUUCUCCUUGUCAGCUUUUCCUUCAAUUUUGUCAAGGAACUUUCCAUGCAAUGUUUUGUUAUGCCAGCCGUCAGCUCUAGUUUGUAGUGCGGUUUUCUUGUACUGAUUCUUUGUCUGCUGUGCUUUGAGGAGUUUCUGAUUUUUUACUUCAAUCAAAGCAGGUUCUUCACUUUGCUUUACAUAUUCUGCCAGGGCAUGUUCUUCUUCUUUGACUGCUUGUUUUACUUGUAAGAGUCCUCUGCCACCAGAUCUUCUAGGUAGAUAGAGCCGGUCAACAUCACUGCGAGGGUGCAGUGAAUGAUGAAUGGUCAUGAGUUUUCUUGUUUUUCUGUCCAAAUUGUCCAGUUCCACUUGUGUCCAGUUUAUGAUGCCAGCAGUAUAUCUUAUGACAGGUAUGGCCCAGGUGUUCAUGGCCUUGAUGGUGUUGCCUCCAUUGAGACUUUAUUUAUUUAUUUAUUUAUUUUAUUUACAGUAUUUAUAUUCCACCCUUCUCACCUCGAAGGGGACUCAGGGCGGAUCACAUUGUACAAGGCAAACAUUCAAUGCCAUAUAAACAUAGAAUAGAGACAGAGACAGACACAGAGGCAAUUUAAACCUUCUCCAGCUUCCAGCUUCCUGAGGGUAUGCUUGAUUCCAGCCACAGGGGGAGCAGCUGCCAUCCACUGCGACGGCAACUUCUUCAUUCCAACGGCAGCUGGAUGAUUUUUAUGGUGUCGUAAAUUAGCUUCCCCACAUAUAAGUGGUACCUAAGUUUCCUACUUGAUAGAUGCAACUAUCUUUUGGGUUGCUUAGGUCAACAACGAGCAGAGGCUAUUUUUUAUUUUAAUUGUCGGGUGCCCACCCCGACAUGGAUUGGCCUCAAACUCAUGAUCUCUUGGUCAGAGUGUUUUAUUGCAGCUGGCUGCUAACCAGUCUGCGCCACAGCCCGUUUUGUUUUGUAAAUCGCAGAAGGCUCCCAAACUGAGUUUCAUAUUCUGUGCAAGGAAGCAAAACUAAAAAAAGCAAAGCCAAAAAGGCUGCCUUAGUGCCUUUCAUUUCCUCUCUCCAUUAAUGGCCUCUCUCCAUUAGGAAAGGGGAAAAGAGGAAGAAGUGUUUUCUGGGAACAGCAUAGAACUCUGGGAUGUGUAGUUUGGGAAGGGAGGAACCCUAUGCCAGAGAAUUCAAAAAGCCCUGCCUUAACCUCCAUUACCCAGAAUACAGUGUAGUGCUCAGCAUCAGAGAGAUUUGCCCCUCUGUAGCCAGCCAGAGUUCCAAUAAAUUAUGAUUUUUGUUCUUUUUGUCAUUUAAUUGGUUCGAGCCCCGGUGGCGAAGUGCGUUAAAGCACUGAGCUGGAGACCAAAAGGUCCCAGGUUCAAACCCCGGGAGCGGCGGGAGCGGCCACUGUUAGCUCCAGCUCCUGCCAACCUAGCAGUUCGAAAACAUGCCAAUGUGAGUAGAUCAAUAGGUACCGCUCCGGCAGGAAGGUAACGGCGCUCCAUGCAAUCAUGCCGGCCACAUGACCUUGGAGGUGUCUACGGACAAUGCCGGCUCUUCAGCUUAGAAAUGGAGAUGAGCACCAACCCCCAGAGUCAGACAUGACUGGACUUAACGUCAGGGGAAAACCUUUACCUUACUAUCAUAAAAACAUGGUGAAAGUUUAUUAAAUUGCAAAAACUGUAUCUUUGCACGCGGGACAUUUUGCUAUCUAGUCCACCAAUUUAAAAUCAUCAUCCACCCAUUUGACAAAGUUUGGCCUACAACUUCCAGAAAUCCCAGCCACUUUACCAGCUGUUAGGAUUUCUGGGAGUUGAAGGCCAAAACAUCUGGGGACUACCAGAUUAAGAACCACUGAGCUAGAUAGUUUUAGUUAGCCCUCUCACUGUUAACUAGUCCUUCAGCUGGCUCUCUCACCAUCAGCUGGCAUAACAGUUCCAGAAUGACCAGUAUCCACCCAGAGAACUGACCCUCUACUAAUACAACACACAACACAUUAAAAUAGAAGUUCACCCAGGCCUUGUGGGCUUAGCUUUAUAAUAAGAGUCUCCUUGCAGUUGCUGAGCCACACCCAGCUGGAACAGACUUGGGACAUUAAAUAUCUCCAGCCUGCUCUUUGGGACUCCUUGUG
ensembl:lncRNA